rnacentral:rRNA from 1 species
GACGAACGCUGGCGGCGUGCUUAACACAUGCAAGUCGAACGGAAAGGCCCUGCUUUUGUGGGGUGCUCGAGUGGCGAACGGGUGAGUAACACGUGAGUAACCUGCCCUUGACUUUGGGAUAACUUCAGGAAACUGGGGCUAAUACCGGAUAGGAGCUCCUGCUGCAUGGUGGGGGUUGGAAAGUUUCGGCGGUUGGGGAUGGACUCGCGGCUUAUCAGCUUGUUGGUGGGGUAGUGGCUUACCAAGGCUUUGACGGGUAGCCGGCCUGAGAGGGUGACCGGCCACAUUGGGACUGAGAUACGGCCCAGACUCCUACGGGAGGCAGCAGUGUGGAAUAUUGCACAAUGGGCGGAAGCCUGAUGCAGCAACGCCGCGUGCGGGAUGACGGCCUUCGGGUUGUAAACCGCUUUCGCCUGUGACGAAGCGUGAGUGACGGUAAUGGGUAAAGAAGCACCGGCUAACUACGU